UACGUAGGGGGCUAGCGUUGUCCGGAAUCAUUGGGCGUAAAGCGCGCGUAGGCGGCCCGGUAAGUCCACUGUGAAAGUCAAAGGCUCAACCUUUGAAUGUCAGUGGAUACUGCCGGGCUAGAGUCCGGAAGAGGCGAGUGGAAUUCCUGGUGUAGCGGUGGAAUGCGCAGAUAUCAGGAGGAACACCAACGGCGAAGGCAGCUCGCUGGGACGGUACUGACGCUGAGGCGCGAAAGCGUGGGGAGCGAACAGG
rnacentral:rRNA from 1 species